CUGGUAGAGAGACAUUAAUGGUUCCCAUUGACAUGAAAAGGGAUUGGACAGAAAGAAAAUCCGACUUUGUUGAUGUUACUCAGUUAUAUUCCAACUUAAAUUGCAUCUCUUGUGAAGUCUUUGUUUCAGCAGCAGACCUGCUUUCCAAUCCGGAGGCAGCUGUUCCUGAUUUUUGUCGCAUCACCCCUCGUGUGCAAACUGCCCGGAUGUACAAGUAUUAAAAACGACCUAAAUGGGGGCUGACAGAUGGAAGACAAGAAACCAGCGUGCUCGUUGCCCGUCACAGCCACAAGAGGGCGCUUCAGAUGGAGGCGACCUACAGGUCUGAGCUCCACCUGAUGGGGAGCAGAGCGACGACCCGCCUGAAGCGACUCGGAGUCACAGCUUGCGAAUCACCGGCAGAGGACUGCGAGUAGACACCGGAAAUGCACAGGAAAACGUUUCGGUUUCCACAUUUGUUUGCCGAGUGUGUAUUUGUGUGUGUGUGAAAUGAAAUAUAAAAUGAAAUAUCUACACUGGACGAGAAUUAGCAGGCCUGCGAAUGAGCCACAACAUUGCGACUGUCAGUGGAUUUUGCAAAGUAUAGCAAACUGUCUGUAGACAAAUGAAAGCUUUAUUGGCUGUGAAUAAAAGCUGUCAAGCGAUGGGAAAUAAAACAGAAAAAGCAGUUGUGGAGGAGAACAACACGUUGCAUUUCCUGCUUCUUCAUGUCACGUCAGUCAGUCGUGUCCUCUUUAAUUGCAGUCGCAACCGGAUUUUAAUUUGC